AAAAGGCGAAAGAGAGGAGAAAGGAGCGCGUGCGUCUUAUGAAAUGUAAAAUCGCUAGUCCACUUUGAGGAAGACAAUGCUCCAAUUAGCAUCCUGUAAACAAAGGCAACAAAGGAUGUAUUUGAAUACGAGUGCAUAACACAUCACGCCAAGGUGGAAGGGCAAGAGGGCGGAGAUGGGGACGAAGCAUUACGCUUCCUAUUUUUUCCCCUGUGCCCGGCAGUGAGACGUGAGACAGAGAAGGAGAGCGAAUGCACGCAGUGGUGCCAAAACCCAGGAUCACCAGCGGGAUGGACAGAGACCAGCUGGAGCGC
rnacentral:lncRNA from 1 species